ACUCCAAAGUCAAAGAACCCCAAAUAGUGAAAACCCUUCCAUCCACUUCAUGACGAGCUUCCUUCUUUGCAAUUUCGAGCCACUGUUCAAGUUUGUAAUUACAUAUUAGUCUUACCGCUCCAAUACAAUUUGAGACUCUCUUUCUAGAUGGAAACUACCAAUGAAAUAGAUGUGGAGAUGAUUGUCAAUGAUCCUCUGAUUGUGUCAGUGGCACCUCAAAAGAAAGAUGGUAGAAGCUCUUAUUUGUACUCAACAAUGGAUAAAGUCACCUAAGGAAUGCAAGCUUCAAGAUUAUCUAGAAGAAAUUAAAAAAAUUGAGCAAGUUGAAGAAGAAUGUCCAGGUGACCCUUUGAGUAUUGAUUAGUUCAGAACUUUAGUUAAACAAAAUAAUGUCAACCUAUUCAUGGUGCUUGGUUGCUUGUUGCUUUUUUUUUUUUUUAUCUUUUGUCUUGUCCAACUUUAAUUAACUUAAUAUUUUUUGUGGAACUACAAGUUGGGUUGUA